rnacentral:rRNA from 1 species
CCUACGGGAGGCUGCAGUGAGGAAUAUUGGUCAAUGGACGAGAGUCUGAACCAGCCAAGUAGCGUGAAGGAUGACUGCCCUAUGGGUUGUAAACUUCUUUUAUAUGGGAAUAAAACGUUCCACGUGUGGGAUUUUGUAUGUACCAUAUGAAUAAGGCUCGGCUAAAUCCGUGCCAGCAGCCGCGGUAAUACGGAGGAACCGAGCGUUAUCCGGAUUUAUUGGGUUUAAAGGGAGCGUAGGUGGAUUAUUAAGUCAGUUGUGAAAGUUUGCGGCCCAACCGUGAAAUUGCAGUUGAAACUGGCAGUCUUGAGUACAGUAGAGGUGGGCGGAAUUCGUGGUGUAGCGGUGAAAUGCUUAGAUAUCACGAAGAACUCCGAUUGCGAAGGCAGUUCACUGGACUGCAACUGACACUGAGGCUCGAAAGUGUGGGUAUCAAACAGGAUUAGAUACCCCUGUAGUC